GAAGAAAAUCAUGUUCAUCCUUUGCAUUUUCGCACCCUAAGAACAGCCUUCACUAAAUCAGCUUCUGUUUUGAAGGAGAAAAACGAGUUUGAAGUUGGGACAUGCAUGCUGAUUGUGUGAUAAAGAGUGGAUACGGGUUUGAUGAAUUUGGAGUUGGAGUUUUGGUCAAGUGAGGAGCUCAAUUGCAGCAUGUUCAUCAUCCAAAGCUCCAUUGAUGCAAGGUGCAGUUUAGUAGUGUUUGGUCAGUAGCAGGUUUGGACUGAAGACUUGGAAGUGGUGAUGGCUCGGAGACCUCGUUGGUUUUGACUUUCCGCUGUGCAAGAUCCAUUGAAGACACAUGUUUUGUAAUUAUUAUUAUUAUUAUUUCAUGUUGUAUUCUAAAUGGAUCAUCUUGUAUCCUUAGCUUUUGUAUGUACUCAAUAUCAAUUUUAACGUUUCAUGCAUAAUAUACUAGUCAGUUAUGUAUGGGGUGUUACAGUUGGUAUCAGAGCUGGUCGAUUCUCGGCCGAGCCAUGAGACAUCACUAGCAAUUCCUUUUCCUCCUCUCAAGUGUGCGUUGCUAGCCUGAUUUUACUGAAAUCUCAUUCAGUUGUUGAACUUGAUCAACUCAUCGACUGAGUGUGAGACAGUAGAAUUACGGCAGAGCCGCCACGAGGACUCGUAAAACCUGCAAGGUUGUGAACCUAAGUUGUUGGAUGUUUUAAGUGGAUGAUAUUGGAGUCAUCAAGAUUAAGGAGAGCAUUCGACACGAAGUAGUGAUACCCAAACUGUCAAGGUGUGGAAUGGAGAUAGCUAGAACCCCCAGGAUUUUGACUGAACGAAGUGAAGCUUUCUCUAAGUCUUGGUAAUAGCAAGGGAAAUCCAAAUAAUAUUGAGUAGGAGCCUUGUAAAGUAAGAUUCUCCGAAAGUGUUGAGCUGUGAAUUAGUAGGAUUCAGUAAUGAUGAUGCUGCCGGUGUUAAGUGCGACUGAUGAGCUGA